ACCAACGCGAAGCGGCGCCUACCCGCUCGCUCGCUUCCGUCCCCGACUCCCCCUCCGUCCCCAUCCUAUUCGCUCCGCCGCACCACCCACCCCAUCGCCCGCCUCCCGGAAUCCUCUCGCCUCCCGCCGCCGCCGCCACAGCCACCACCACCCCGGCCGGAGGCCACGCGCCCCACUCGGCCGCUCGAACCCGAGGUCAGAUCCAAACCACAGCCCCAGGUCCGAAUCGCGCCGCAUUUUUUCUAGGUUUUGGUACGGAUCUAGGGUUGGCCGUGGAAUUCCGGGCGUGGGGCAAUUCGUUCGAUUCGCUCGGAUUCCUCCGCGGCUCGGAUUUCGUGGUUAUGGCCGCCGGGCGCCACGGAGGGUACAGGGACUACGAGGCCAGGGAGCGGGAGCCCGACGCCGAGGCCGCCAGGAGGAGCCAGAGCCUCGGCGACCGCCACCGGAGCGACGCCGACCGCCGCCGCGACGGCGGGCGCAGCAGCGGUGGCAGGGAAUUCUCCAACGGCUAUGGCCACCGCCGCUCGCACCCGCCCAAAAGCCGCCUCUCCACCAGGCUUGGGGACCGGGAGCCCGGCGAGGUGCUCAGCGGGAGUGCGUCAGAUGACUCUGGUGGGAGGUCAGGCAGAGCGGCGGGGGAAAACACCUUGGCCAGUUCUAGCAGGGAGGGCGAGGUGGCGGUGGGGGCGCCUGCUGCCCCUUCGCCCAGUAAAAAGAGGAAAUUUUCGCCCAUAAUUUGGGACAGGGAUAGCCCAAAGCCGCCGCCGUUGCAUUCUGGUGCAGUGACUGUGAAGGGAGUGGUGGAAUCCGCAUCUGCUGAUACAGCAAGUGACCAGAAAGUGGUGGAGUCCUCUUCUGCUCAACUCCCUCCCCCUCCUCCGCUGCCGCCACAGGGGCACAUCCCAGAGAGAUUGGUCGUGGAGAAUUCACCAAUGGAUGUGGACCUUGCUGUUGAUACUGGGAACAAUGAGCAGUUGCACGAGCUGGAGGAUAGUAAAGUGCUUGAGGUAGAGGAGAGUAAAGUAAAGGAUGAAGAGGAGAGUAAAGUAAAGGAGGAAGAGGAGUACCCAACAAUGAGGAACAUAUCAACUUCAAGGUGGGCAGGUGCUAACGAUGACGAGGAGGAGGGUGUAACACUGAGGAAGAAGAAAGGCUUAUCUCCUGCAGAUUCCGCUGAGCUGGGGCAGGGUAAGAAGACUCCUACUCCAGAACUUGGGGAGGUUGUGACCAGUGAUAUUUCUGGACGGAGGACCAUGUCAAGGUCAUCUGAUUCAGGGAGAAUGGGUAACGACGAGAAGGAAGAUUUGGAAUUAGGUAAAGGUGACUACAUGGAUGUUGAUAGAGGGGAGGCUAGUGUUAAUGGUUCAGCUAAUCUUCUAUCUUCUGAUUCGGAGGAUGAAGUGCGCAGGUCUGAAACCCCUGAGCCAGUGAAGCCGGCUCAUCGAUGUAUCAAUAUGCUGCAAGGUUGCAGAAGUGUUGAUGUGUUUGAGAGGCUCAACAAGAUUAAUGAAGGCACCUAUGGUGUUGUAUAUCGAGCAAAGGAUAAGAAGACUGCUGAGAUUGUUGCAUUGAAGAAGGUCAAGAUGGAAAAGGAGAGAGAAGGUUUCCCGUUGACCUCUCUUAGGGAAAUCAACAUCCUUUUAUCUUUCCAUCACCCUUCAAUUGUUGACGUUAAGGAAGUAGUAGUUGGCAGUAGUCUUGAUAGUAUUUUUAUGGUGAUGGAGUACAUGGAGCAUGAUCUUAAGGGUGUCAUGGAGACAAUGAAGCAGCCAUAUACCCAAAGUGAGGUCAAAUGCUUAAUGCUUCAGCUAUUAGAGGGUGUAAAAUAUCUUCAUGACAAUUGGGUACUUCAUAGGGAUUUGAAGACUUCAAAUCUAUUGCUGAAUAACCGUGGUGAGUUGAAAAUAUGUGAUUUUGGACUGUCUCGUCAAUAUGGGAGCCCACUAAAACCUUAUACUCAAUUGGUUGUGACUUUGUGGUACAGGUCACCUGAACUAUUGCUAGGAACAAAGGAAUACUCUACUGCUAUUGACAUGUGGUCCGUGGGCUGCAUUAUGGCAGAGCUUCUCGCCAAAGAACCACUGUUCAAUGGAAAAACAGAGUUUGAACAGCUAGACAAGAUAUUUAGAACACUUGGCACACCUAAUGAGAAGAUAUGGCCUGGUUAUGCCAAGUUACCUGGUGUCAAAGUCAACUUUGUUAAACAACCGUACAACAGAUUAAGGGAUAAGUUCCCAGCUGCGUCUUUUUCUGGGCGUCCAACCCUAUCUGAAGCUGGUUUUGAUCUGUUGAAUAAGCUCUUAACUUAUGAUCCUGCGAAGCGUAUAUCAGCUGAGGCUGCAUUGGAGCAUCCAUGGUUCAGUGAAGUACCUCUACCUAAGUCGAAGGACUUCAUGCCAACAUUUCCAGCUCUAAACGAACUGGACAGGCGUACCAGACGGUAUAUGAAGAGUCCUGAUCCUCUAGAGGAGCAACGGUUGAAAGAACUGCAAGCAAAAGGCAACCGUGGCCUUUUCGGCUGAGCUCAAACCGCUUGCUUGGGUUUUGUUCGUACUGACUGCUAUGCUUCAACCUGAAUCAGUGAGGUCAGAUGGCUUCUGAGGUGAGAUGUGCCAUGGACAUGAAGUAUCAGAUCUUCUUGGUGUCUUCAAGCAACUGACAACGUUCUUUAGCAGGCUUUGUGCUUAGUGACUUGUGGCCCAUCAUAGAAUUCUUUUCACAGGAUUAGCACUCCGACCAGAUUGAUCAUGAAAGCAAAUCUAACCUGCCUCCAUCGUAAGGUUUGGCCUGUUGGCUUUAUUGGCUACACACUUACACCUGUUUCACCUUUGGAACCUCUGUAUGUAAAAUAUUCCAGAUUGGUACGUUGUAAACAAUGCUCAGUGUGUUGGAUUUACAAUAAGAUUAUAAGAAUCUAUCAUUUUUCUCUCUCUGCUCCUAUAGUGCUCUUUUCUUUUGAUCUUUGCAUUUUGUUUGCAAGAAAUGAAAGUGGCGAAGGGGAAGGAUGCCUUUAGCUUUUCUUCAGGAAAUCAUGGACAGUAAUACAACUUGAAAGCUUAAGCUGUGGCUGCUUCAAGAGGAAGCUUGAUGGCCGCCAGCUUGUUGUACCUAAGUGACUAAAUUUUGUGGGAGGUCUUGAAGUGUAUUCAUCUGUUACUUGAGUGAGCCAUAGUGGUCACUGGUCAGUUUACUAUCCUUCCUUGUUUAUUAAUGCACCAUAUUCAUCUAACUGUUUUUGGGGGAUGGUCAUCUGUUAUUUGUUUGCAUGGAGUAUGGUUUUUGUUGAACUUUCAUUUCGUCCUCUCCCAUAUGGCCGACACUUUGUUUUCUAUUUGAAAUACCUCCUUGACUGAUGUAAAUGCCACAACAUUGGCAUUGUUUACUCACCUCCAUGAAAUUGAGGCUAUUUAGAUUAGUGAAGGAGGUCAAAAUUAGGCUGAAAUACUAGUGUUGCGUGCUCUCUGUUCCCCAGUUUGGUUAUGGUAGCCUGGUUGUUUUGAUGGGCCACAUUUGGAACAAACGUUUGGCAUGCUCUUUGGGGAUGCAUAACUGCUUAUGGUUCUUGAUGUUUUUGUAGUAGUGUUUUUCUUGUCAUGGGUUAACAUGAGCUGCCCUUGCCACUACAAAUGUUCAAUUGCUACUUGCCACUUCAUUCUGUAUGACGUUGGUGAUUCGGAGUUUUGCGUUGUCGAAUGUGAUGAUCAAUUUCUUGCCCAUUUGUUUGCCUCUUAUUUUAGUUUCAGUUGUCUUGCGGAAGAUAUAUCAGCCCAUCAGCACGCUUGAGUAUGUUUUUGCGAUAUAAACAUUUGCGUAGUUGCAGUGGUGUCGGCGCGCAGAAUAGAAAGAUUGCAGUGGUAUCGGUGCACAGAAUAGAAAACAGUCUAUUCCCUCUGUUCGCAAAUAUAAGAUGUUUUACAUAUUUCAAUAUGGACUACAUACGGACUGAAAUGAAUGAAGAAAGACACUAAAAUGUGUCUAUAUACUCGAAUCAGAAAAUAGUUAGAACAUCUCAGGACUGGAAUUGAAUUACUGGCGGAGGGAGUGCAUUAUAACCUAUGUUGAUAACUGAGACUCGUAGAGUGGGGUUUUUGUUGGUUGGCUACACAUGCAAACGUUUUAUUUGUUUGAGUUGACAAAGUUUUGUAGCACUGGUUUUUUUUUUGCCCGGACCUCACGAAUGCAAAUACAUCAUGACAAUGGGCAAGUUUGUUACUCCCUCCGAUCCAUAGACAAAUCUAGGACAAGUAAUAUGGAUCGGAGGGAGUAGUAGAAAACAAAGCAACAUUUGUUGCCAAUGUUUUAGGAAGUUUCUUUUUUUUUGGAUUUCACUGCUUAUCCAAUGUGCAUGUGUUCCCGGAAUCAGAGUUGCACUUGUGAGGCUCGUCACUUUAUGGAAGAGCAGGAUGCUUCUUCUAGCAUUUACACCCGACGUCAAAUGCCCCUGGUGAACAGUAAAAUCAUGAAAAAUAGAAAAAAAAAAGAUGAAAAACUUCUGUUUUUUUUGUGUUAACCUUGGACAAAAUGUUCUACUCCCUCUUCCCUGUAAUAUAAGAACGAAAAAAGGUUCUUAUAUUAUGGGACGGAGGGAGUAUGUGCUUGCAAAAAUUUAUCAGGAACGGGCAUUCCUGGAAGUCAGUGGCAAAAAGAACAAAAUCGAUAUUCCAAAACUGCUAUUUUUGAAAUUAUUUUGGAGUAUUGAUUUUUUUUGCCAUGACUUCCAUGAGUGUCAUUUCGUGAUGAAAAUUUGCAAGCAUAGAAAUAUUUUGUCAAAGGUUACCAGAAAAAUUCAGCACUUUAAAAAAUCAUUUUCUUUUGAUUUUACUGUUCAUCGGAGCUCAUUUGAGCUCGGGAGCAGAAGAACACUUUAGGCUUCUUUACUAGUCUGUGAUAUAAAUAGUUCUCCUCUUGUAUAACAAGCAGCCUGAUAUCGCUCUCCUCGCUGGACGUGAAUGCCAUAGUGUCAUUCCGUGUCUUUGUUGCACUCCCCGCUGAACCAACGGUUCGAGUCUUCUGGAUUGCCAUAGUUGAGUAAUCUUGUUGCUCACCACCCAUUGGCGUGGGCUUGUGUAGACUCCAUUAUUUGCAGGUCGAUGGGGAUAUGACCAAGCAAGGAGCACGCGCAACUCGAGAGGCAAUUCGGUCUGGAUGACUCAAGCAAUACUACUCUCCGCUGCAGCGCACAUUCGAUGUGAUUAUUAUUACAUGUAUAAAUGUAAAUAGCUCGUUAAUUAGUUAGAGAAUCAAAUACUUCCAUGAGUGCAUAUAUGUUACUGGAAGAACGUUUGGCG
rnacentral:rRNA from 1 species